AAAGGAAUAGACGGGGACCCGCACAAGCGGUGGAGCAUGUGGUUUAAUUCGAAGCAACGCGAAGAACCUUACCAGGUCUUGACAUCCUUUGACCGCCCUAGAGAUAGGGUCUUCCCUUCGGGGACAAAGUGACAGGUGGUGCAUGGUUGUCGUCAGCUCGUGUCGUGAGAUGUUGGGUUAAGUCCCGCAACGAGCGCAACCCUUAUUACUAGUUGCCAGCAUUCAGUUGGGCACUCUAGUGAGACUGCCGGUGACAAACCGGAGGAAGGUGGGGAUGACGUCAAAUCAUCAUGCCCCUUAUGACCUGGGCUACACACGUGCUACAAUGGAUGGUACAACGAGUCGCAAACCCGCGAGGGCAAGCAAAUCUCUGAAAGCCAUUCUCAGUUCGGAUUGUAGGCUGCAACUCGCCUACAUGAAGCCGGAAUCGCUAGUAAUCGCGGAUCAGCACGCCGCGGUGAAUACGUUCCCGGGUCUUGUACACACCGCCCGU
rnacentral:rRNA from 1 species